AACGAACGCUGGCGGCAGGCUUAACACAUGCAAGUCGAGCGGAAACGAUGGGAGCUUGCUCCCAGGCGUCGAGCGGCGGACGGGUGAGUAACGCGUAGGAAUCUACCCAGUAGAGGGGGAUAGCCCGGGGAAACCCGGAUUAAUACCGCAUACGCCCUAAGGGGGAAAGGCCGGGAUCUUCGGACCGGUCACUAUUGGAUGAGCCUGCGUAAGAUUAGCUAGUUGGUAGGGUAAUGGCCUACCAAGGCGACGAUCUUUAGCUGGUCUGAGAGGAUGAUCAGCCACACUGGGACUGAGACACGGCCCAGACUCCUACGGGAGGCAGCAGUGGGGAAUAUUGCGCAAUGGGGGAAACCCUGACGCAGCGACGCCGCGUGGGUGAGGAAGGUUUUAGGAUCGUAAAGCCCUGUCAAGUGGGAAGAAGAAAGUGACGGUACCANUAAAGGAAGCACCGCUAAC
rnacentral:rRNA from 1 species